rnacentral:rRNA from 1 species
UCGAGCGGAUGAAGGGAGCUUGCUCCUGGAUUCAGCGGCGGACGGGUGAGUAAUGCCUAGGAAUCUGCCUGGUAGUGGGGGAUAACGUCCGGAAACGGGCGCUAAUACCGCAUACGUCCUGAGGGAGAAAGUGGGGGAUCUUCGGACCUCACGCUAUCAGAUGAGCCUAGGUCGGAUUAGCUAGUUGGUGGGGUAAAGGCCUACCAAGGCGACGAUCCGUAACUGGUCUGAGAGGAUGAUCAGUCACACUGGAACUGAGACACGGUCCAGACUCCUACGGGAGGCAGCAGUGGGGAAUAUUGGACAAUGGGCGAAAGCCUGAUCCAGCCAUGCCGCGUGUGUGAAGAAGGUCUUCGGAUUGUAAAGCACUUUAAGUUGGGAGGAAGGGCAGUAAGUUAAUACCUUGCUGUUUUGACGUUACCAACAGAAUAAGCACCGGCUAACUUCGUGCCAGCAGCCGCGGUAAUACGAAGGGUGCAAGCGUUAAUCGGAAUUACUGGGCGUAAAGCGCGCGUAGGUGGUUCAGCAAGUUGGAUGUGAAAUCCCCGGGCUCAACCUGGGAACUGCAUCCAAAACUACUGAGCUAGAGUACGGUAGAGGGUGGUGGAAUUUCCUGUGUAGCGGUGAAAUGCGUAGAUAUAGGAAGGAACACCAGUGGCGAAGGCGACCACCUGGACUGAUACUGACACUGAGGUGCGAAAGCGUGGG